rnacentral:lncRNA from 1 species
UUGCAUAAUCAUCCCUGCCUGGAGUCGACAGCCAGGAAAAGCUGACCACUUUUUGCUUUGUUGACAUAGCUCAUCGCAUUGCUCCAGGCCAGUGGACAGUCAAGUUUGGUAGAGACAUCAAGGGUUUUCAUCACCAAACCGCUGGAAAUAAUUGUGGUAUCUACAUACUUAUGGUAAAUUGCUUUAUAGUAUCUAGUAUCUAA